rnacentral:lncRNA from 1 species
UAUAAAUCUGUUUCUUAAUAAUUAUUAGCUUAUUCUAAUUAAUCGUGUUAAUUAAAGUAAUUGCUUUUGUGUCAUAGAUACAUGGUCGACUACAAUCCUGAUAAAGGGAAAAGAAAUGCUAAAGGAAAGAAAAAAGGAGCACUCAUUUGCCCACGCAUUGUCACGUUAAUUCGAGAAUUAAAUAGUUUUGGUUUGAACUCUGUUUGAAUAAAAGUUUUUAGAAUUAGUAGUUAUAAAAAAAAUAGUUAAUAAUCAAGAGAGGUCUGGUUUCGUAACAAAGAUUUACCAAAUUCAUCAACGUAAUAUUUCUGCUUUACAUCUGACUACAAUGAUUAUUUUUAUUGGCAUUUAGCACCAACAAUGGCAAAAAAUUGGCCUUACGUAAAUCAUUCAUUUAGAGAAACAACUUUAAGUUGACUCGAUAUGAAAAAGAAAGGAAUAAACCUUGUUUUUGUGUAUUUGGAUUGAUUUUUUUAUAUUUUACGAAAUAUAUUUUAAUAUAUUUAAACAAAUAUAUAUUAAAUAAAAUAAGUUUAAAUAAGUUUUUCUAUAAAUAAAUCUAUAAUGUAAAUGAUUGUGUAAUAUUAUGUGCUUGUACUCUAUCAAAAUUGUUAGUUUUUUUUUUAGGUAUUGUUUAUUUACUAAUUUAUGCAUGUAUUUGCUUUUAAUAUAAAAUGUAAAUCAGGAAAAAUUGUAUAUUUG